rnacentral:rRNA from 1 species
GUCUACGGACAUACUUCCCUGAAUACCCUGAUCCUCUCUGAUCUGGAAAGCUAAGCGGGCUUGGGUCCAGUUAGUGCCCGGAUGAGAGCCGUUUGUUUGAGACAGGGUCUCAGGAUG